rnacentral:tRNA from 5 species
CGGGGCGUGGCGCAGUCUGGUUUAGCGCGCUACCUUGGGGUGGUAGAGGUCGUGGGUUCGAAUCCCGCCGCCCCGACCA